UACGGGGGGGGCAAGCGUUGUUCGGAAUUACUGGGCGUAAAGGGCUCGUAGGUGGCCAACUAAGUCAGACGUGAAAUCCCUCAGCUUAACUGGGGAACUGCGUCUGAUACUGGAUGGCUUGAGUUUGGGAGAGGGACGCGGAAUUCCAGGUGUAGCGGUGAAAUGCGUAGAUAUCUGGAGGAACACCGGUGGCGAAGGCGGCGUCCUGGACCAACACUGACACUGAUGAGCGAAAGCCAGGGUAGCAAACGGG
rnacentral:rRNA from 1 species